rnacentral:rRNA from 1 species
AUUGAACGCUGGCGGCAGGCCUAACACAUGCAAGUCGAGCGGAUGAAGGGAGCUUGCUCCUGGAUUCAGCGGCGGACGGGUGAGUAAUGCCUAGGAAUCUGCCUGGUAGUGGGGGAUAACGUCCGGAAACGGGCGCUAAUACCGCAUACGUCCUGAGGGAGAAAGUGGGGGAUCUUCGGACCUCACGCUAUCAGAUGAGCCUAGGUCGGAUUAGCUAGUUGGUGGGGUAAAGGCCUACCAAGGCGACGAUCCGUAACUGGUCUGAGAGGAUGAUCAGUCACACUGGAACUGGGACACGGUCCAGACUCCUACGGGAGGCAGCAGUGGGGAAUAUUGGACAAUGGGCGAAAGCCUGAUCCAGCCAUGCCGCGUGUGUGAAGGAGGUCUUCGGAUUGUAAAGCACUUUAAGUUGGGAGGAAGGGCAGUAAGUUAAUACCUUGCUGUUUUGACGUUACCAACAGAAUAAGCACCGGCUAACUUCGUG